GAUGAACGCUGGCGGCGUGCCUAAUACAUGCAAGUCGAGCGAACGGGCGAGAAGCUUGCUUCUCUGAUGUUAGCGGCGGACGGGUGAGUAACACGUGGAUAACCUACCUAUAAGACUGGGAUAACUUCGGGAAACCGGAGCUAAUACCGGAUAAUAUUUUGAACCGCAUGGUUCAAAAGUGAAAGACGGUCUUGCUGUCACUUAUAGAUGGAUCCGCGCUGCAUUAGCUAGUUGGUAAGGUAACGGCUUACCAAGGCAACGAUGCAUGGCCGACCUGAGAGGGUGAUCGGCCACACUGGAACUGAGACACGGUCCAGACUCCUACGGGAGGCAGCAGUAGGGAAUCUUCCGCAAUGGGCGAAAGCCUGACGGAGCAACGCCGCGUGAGUGAUGAAGGUCUUCGGAUCGUAAAACUCUGUUAUUAGGGAAGAACAUAUGUGUAAGUAACUGUGCACAUCUUGACGGUACCUAAUCAGAAAGCCACGGCUAACUACGUG
rnacentral:rRNA from 1 species